rnacentral:ncRNA from 1 species
GCAAAUGCAGUUAAAGGAAGCAUUAAACUUAAUGCAUAUACCACAGCCAAGGUACGUGGAAAUGUUUUCUUAAUAACCAUAGCGAUCUCCUCAGAUGCAAGGCCCAACAUCAGCCGCUUCUUUUUUGUUUUUAUUAAAUUUUAAAAUGCAAUUUGAAUGCCAGAGCUUAAUUUAAGACAACCAGUCUAGCGGCGAUACCGCUUUUCCUCUCAGUCUUAUUUCAAAGUAUAGACCGUUUUGUUUAAUUCCACCGCUAUGGCCU